CACCUACGUGUUAAGUGCUGCUAAGAGACUAUCUUCUUGAACUUUGAUUGCAAAGACUUUACACAUAGAAAAACACUAAUGCCUUUGCAACCAAGUAGUAUUACAUCCAAUGAGAAAUACAAUGUAAAUUGUCUCUGUACGUUGUUGGAGAUCUGCUUUUAUAAAUUACUACAAGCCUAUGUCACUAUAGUAAAGACCUCUGCACUUCCACCAGUUCUUCAUGUGAUAUUCAGUGUUGUGUGCCUUUUACCUCCUUUUUGACGCCUCCGAGAUUUGUGCUGGUAAAUUUAUGCAUUUUUAUAGUUUUUUGCAUUAGUGAAUCUCGAAGUGUUUUAUUAAAUCAUAGCAUAACUCUUGCAUCACACAUGGUAAAUGUCUUAGAACAAAAACAUUAGCAAGUGGAAAAACUGACAGAAUAGUGUUGCUCACUAAGCAGAAUCAUUUGCAAGUCUCAUUGCAAUUGUGAGUCUUCCAGUGCCAGUUGCAGGCACUGACACAGAAAACAUUGGCUGAGAGCAGAAAAUUUCUGGGAAUAGUCUGGGAACACCUGUGCCAGGCUACCUGGGCAUAUGGAUCUGUGCCACCCUGCUGAAUCUUAAGCCUUGCUCGAUGAAUGGCACCAAAGUCCCAUGGAGUAGAAAAUGACACCCACUGACUUCCAGAAACUUUUGUAUCUGCUGGAGUCUCCUACUGUGAUGUCUUCUCAUCCCAUAAACACAGCAUGAGUCCAUGAUUUUCCUGUCAUUUCACCUUCCCUGUACAUUGGCAUGAUAUAUGGGAUUCACCUCAGGAAUGAGGUGAAUGGGAGCCAGCUUUUGUAAUGAAGAUGCUGUAGUUAGUCAUUUUUGUCUCCGAGGUCUCGUCUAUGAUGCAUUGAUUGACCUUGACCAAAACCUCUUUACACUGCAGCCAACAUUAUUGCAGAAAGCCUUCAGAGAAAUUACACAUUCCCUGAAAAUCCACUAAUGCUUCUC
rnacentral:lncRNA from 1 species